CGUAGUAACAACGAAUGAUGAGAAGUCAGCAGAAGUCAUAGUAGGGAAAAUGUACCGAAGGAC
rfam:Staphylococcus pseudintermedius strain 063228, complete genome.